GACAGAGGUGCCAAGCGUUAGGCGGAAUCACUGGGCUUAAAGCGUGUGUAGGCGGAUCGUUAAGUACCUUGUGAAAUCCCUCGGCUCAACCGGGGAACUGCGUCUGAUACUGGCGGGCUUGAAUUCGGGAGAGGGAUGUGGAAUUCCAGGUGUAGCGGUGAAAUGCGUAGAUAUCGAGAGGAACACCUGCGGCGAAGGCGGGUUGCUGGGCUGACACUGACGCUGAAGCGCGAAAGCUAGGGGAGCGAACGGG
rnacentral:rRNA from 1 species